GGUACUAUAGUAUUGCCAGUCUAAUCUAUUGGAUGGUCUUAUUGGUACUAUAGUAUUGCCAGUCUAAUCUAUUGGAUGGUCUUAUAGGUACUAUAGUAUUGCCAGUCUAAUCUAUUGGAUGGUCUUAUUGGUACUAUAGUAUUGCCAGUCUAAUCUAUUGGAUGGUCUUAUUGGUACUAUAGUAUUGCCAGUCUAAUCUAUUGGAUGGUCUUACAGGUACUAUAGUAUUGCCAGUCUAAUCUAUUGGAUGGUCUUAUUGGUACUAUAGUAUUGCCAGUCUAAUCUAUUGGAUGGUCUUAUAGGUACUAUAGUAUUGCCAGUCUAAUCUAUUGGAUGGUCUUAUAGGUACUAUAGUAUUGCCAGUCUAAUCUAUUGGAUGGUCUUAUAGGUACUAUAGUAUUGCCAGUCUAAUCUAUUGGAUGGUCUUAUUGGCACUAUAGUAUUGCCAGUCUAAUCUAUUGGAUGGUCUUACAGGUACUAUAGUAUUGCCAGUCUAAUCUAUUGGAUGGUCUUAUAGGUACUAUAGUAUUGCCAGUCUAAUCUAUUGGAUGGUCUUAUAGGUACUAUAGUAUUGCCAGUCUAAUCUAUUGGAUGGUCUUAUAGGUACUAUAGUAUUGCCAGUCUAAUCUAUUGGAUGGUCUUAUUGGUACUAUAGUAUUGCCAGUCUAAUCUAUUGGAUGGUCUUAUAGGUACUAUAGUAUUGCCAGUCUAAUCUAUUGGAUGGUCUUAUUGGUACUAUAGUAUUGCCAGUCUAAUCUAUUGGAUGGUCUUAUAGGUACUAUAGUAUUGCCAGCCUAAUCUAUUGGAUGGUCU